CCUGGUGACUCCAUCCCAGGUUGAGCAAGAAUCCUUGAGCCGGAGCUCGGUGCCGCAUCCAGAGCCUCACGACAGGAGCUGUGCCUUGAGUGGAGACUUCUGGAGCUGUGAUGAAAACAAGAUUAAAGAAGAAAUCAUUGGCAAUGAAGUGCUUCAACAACUGAACUGCUGACUUUUUUUUGGUUUUUAGAUUUGUCAGCUUCCUCACAGUUAAAGAUUAACAAGGCUCCCAGUGUUUGUCCUUGGAAUUUAACAAUAAACCAGAAUAAAUUCAUCCAGAUCCUCUUUCCAGAAAAGACCUGCUGCCCAUCAGUACCAUGUGUCCCUGAUAAAGGGUCAAACCAUCUCAGGGCCAAGAACUAGAGGACGUGUACCUGAUAUUUUGAAGCCUGCUGGAAGCUUUGGUGCUGCUUGGUGUUGCAGUGGUCACCCCUGACUUCAGCCCAUGCCAGCUGGAAUGUCCCUGCUGGAGCCGUUUCCAGCUGGAACCCUCUGAAAUGUGCUGCAUCCAUUCCAUGCAGCAGAGCAACAAUGUCAUUUUGCAGCUGAGAAGGAUCAUAAUGGAAAGUGAUGCUGAAAAAUCACAGGUGGGCAAGAGUUGUGGCAACACCUUUUAGAGCUGGAAAAAUAUCCAUCCAAGAGAUGAUGUGGGUUUGAUGGCUUUUUGCUUGUAUGUUUGGGGUUGGUGGGUUUGGUUGGUUAUAUUGUGUGAGUGUGCUCCUACAAACAGCCUCUUUAUUACAUGUGAACUGCCUUCCUUUCAAGGGGAAAUUAACUUCUCCUCAGAAAUGAGAAAUUAGUGUAAUUUCUUUUUAAAAUGGUCUUUUUAAACUAUCUCAGGCCCAUGGGAGCAGUGGGGACGUCCAGGCAGGCAGACUGUAGGCCAAAGGAAAACCCCUAAAAUGCUUUCAGCAUAGAUAUGAGGACCUCAGAAACAUUGGUUUGCACAAGAAAAUUGUAAGGAGCCAAUUUAGUUUUGAUUCAGCCAUUUUAGUUUGUCUCAAACCUGG